UACGAAGGGGGCGAGCGUUUAUUCGGAAUCACUGGGCGUAAAGCGUGCGUAGGCGGUCCUAAAAGUUAGGAGUGAAAGCCCAGGGCUUAACCCUGGAAUUGCUCUUAAAACUAUAGGACUAGAAUUCGGGAGAGGAUAGCGGAAUUGUCAGUGUAGCAGUGAAAUGCGUAGAUAUUGACAGGAACACCAGUGGCGUAAGCGGCUAUCUGGACCGACAUUGACGCUGAGGCACGAAAGCGUGGGGAUCAAACAGG
rnacentral:rRNA from 1 species